AGUGAACGCUGGCGGUAGGCCUAACACAUGCAAGUCGAACGGCAGCACAGUAAGAGCUUGCUCUUACGGGUGGCGAGUGGCGGACGGGUGAGGAAUACAUCGGAAUCUACUUUUUCGUGGGGGAUAACGUAGGGAAACUUACGCUAAUACCGCAUACGACCUACGGGUGAAAGCAGGGGAUCUUCGGACCUUGCGCGAUUGAAUGAGCCGAUGUCGGAUUAGCUAGUUGGCGGGGUAAAGGCCCACCAAGGCGACGAUCCGUAGCUGGUCUGAGAGGAUGAUACGCCCAACGGGAACGGAGAACGGGCCCAGACCCCCAGGGGAGGCAGCAGGGGGGAAUAUGGGAAAAGGGGGGAAAGCCUGACCCAGCCAUACCGGGGGGGUGAAGAAGGCCUUGGGGUUGUAAAGCCCUUUUGUUGGGAAAAAAAAGAAGCAGGUUAAUACCCCGCUGCUUGGACGGGCCCAAAAGAAAAAGCACCGGCUAACUUCGG
rnacentral:rRNA from 1 species